GGGUCAACAAGGGAGGUGCUUAACGUAAAUUUGAGCAACCAAUCAGAUUACUCACGUCACGUGACAUGUGCCCAGCCUCAGCUUGCGCGCCACUAUUUGAAUUGUGUGCUUUGACGUCGCCUUCAUUUUACAAAGGUUUGAAGAUUUCUCAGUUCUUUGCUUAUAUUUCAAGGAUCACUGGCUGGUAAUAGGACACGCGUAGUCGGACAGUGCUACAACCAUGCCAACUCCGAUACAAACAAUCUUGUUGAAAGGAACCUUAGACUGGAUCUUAUCAGCAUUCUCAUCAAGAAGACAGAUGGAUACUUCCAGGUCAUUCAUGAUUUACAGGCAGACAGUUUGAAGAAUGAAAAAUGCUUCUUUGAAGACUGUUUCUGUAGCUGCCCAAUAGGAGUCAGAGGACAUCGCUGUAAACACCUUGUACUUGUACUUACUGAUCAAGUGAACACGAUUCUCAGAAGUUUCCUGAUUUGAAUUAUCAAAUAAACGGACGUGCUAGUGUAAUUAAGCAAAAUAAGCUUUACUCCAUUCUGUGCUUUGACAGAAAAGAGGUACAUGUAAGUGUGCAUAUGAGAAAUUAAGUGCAAGAGACUUGUUUUUUUUGGUUUUGUUUAUUUUACUAUGUAUUGUUUUAAAACAAUGAAAAAUUAUGUAAUCUUUAAUUGUAAAUUAAGCUAAGUAAACCAUGAACAUUUAGCAUUACUCUGCUGUCUGAAUGCGUUCUCUAACAGUGAUAUAUUGUAUAUUUAAAUCAAUGAACUGUAACAUUACUUAAUUGAGAUGACAAUGUUUGAAACAAUUACAAUUCAUUUGUUAUUGUGUUCACUGGAUCAGUGUACCUCUACUUAAACUGACUGAUUAAAAAUGAGAUGACAACAUCUACAACUUGUGGUCCAAAAGGUGAAUCCUCUCCCAGUUUUUUCCCUCAGCAAGCACUGGUGAGUACAGAGUGUAUUCCUGCAAACACAAAUG